rnacentral:rRNA from 1 species
CAAAGGAGUGAUCCGGCAGAGGAUGGACAUGCGGCGCAUUAGCUAGUCGGCGGGGUAACGGCCCACCGAGGCUACGAUGCGUAGGGGUUCUGAGAGGAAGGUCCCCCACACUGGUACUGAGACACGGACCAGACUCCUACGGGAGGCAGCAGUGAGGAAUAUUGGUCAAUGGGCGGAAGCCUGAACUAGCCAAGUCGCGUGAGGGAAGACGGUCCUAUGGAUUGUAAACCUCUUUUGCAGGGGAGCAAGGCGCGGUACGUGUACCGCGAAGGAGAGUACCCUGAGAAAAAGCAUCGGCUAACUCCGUGCCAGCAGCCGCGGUAAUACGGAGGAUGCGAGCGUUAUCCGGAUUUAUUGGGUUUAAAGGGUGCGCAGGCGGACUGUUAAGUCAGCGGUAAAAUGUCGGUGCUCAACACCGGCCGGCCGUUGAAACUGGCAGCCUUGAGUGAGCGAGAAGUAUGCGGAAUGCGUGGUGUAGCGGUGAAAUGCAUAGAUAUCACGCAGAACUCCGAUUGCGAAGGCAGCAUACCGGCGCUCAACUGACGCUCAGGCACGAAAGCGUGGGUAUCGAACAGGCUUAGAUACCCUGGUAGUCCACGCAGUAAACGAUGAAUGCUCACUGUCCGGGCCGUUUAAGGCCUGG